rnacentral:rRNA from 1 species
CCUACGGGAGGCAGCAGUGGGGAAUAUUGCACAAUGGGGGAAACCCUGAUGCAGCGACGCCGCGUGGGUGAAGGAGUGCUUCGGCAUGUAAAGCCCUAUCGGCAGGGAAGAAGCAAGACGGUACCUGACUACGAAGCCCUGGCUAACUACGUCCCAGCAGCCGCGGUAAUACGUAGGGGGCGAGCGUUAUCCGGAUUCACUGGGUGUAAAGGGCGCGUAGACGGCCAUGCAAGCCAGGGGUGAAAGUCCGGGGCCCAACCCCGGGACUGCCCUUGGAACUGCAUGGCUGGAGUGCGGGAGGGGCAGGCGGAAUUCCAGGUGUAGCGGUGAAAUGCGUAGAUAUCAGGAGGAACACCGGCGGCGAAGGCGACUUGCUGGACUGUGACUGACGUUGAGGCUCGAAAGCGUGGGGAGCGAACAGGAUUAGAUACCCGUGUAGUC